UUUUUCAUUAAGGAUGUUCUUGCUGAUUUCAAGGAAUGAGCAAUAGCAGAAUCAAUAUGUUUUGUAUAUUCCAUUUCUAUUUAUCUAUCUGUCAGUUCUUAGCCUGCGAGUUAUGUAAUGGAAGUGUAAUGAAGUAUUGUACAUAAGUUCUGAUAUAAUCAAAAAUGGUAUUUGGUAUACCAAUUUUUGUUGAGUUUAAUUUCAUGUUUGAUUAUAUACUUCAGUUGUUCUGUUUUAGUUUUGUUGAGUCGAUAUAUAUAAAUAUGCAAUUAUAAUCUUUUUAGAUGUGUCAGUGGAUUUCAUCUCGCAGAAAAGUUAAAACCAGUGCAUUAUUGGUGCUUAUGCAACGUAAUUAGUACAUUUUAAAUCAAUUAAACCUUGACCUUAUGAUACUUUACAGGAAAAGGUAAACAAGAAUGACUCUCUUUCUCAUAAAGGGGUGCCUUUUGUUUGGAGUGCCUUUCUUCUCAGGAUAUUUUUCAAGCCUAAAAAAUAUCAGGGUCAGUACGUGACAAAAAGAGCUUGCCUCAAAAGUUGUGGAUGUUAUCUCAGACUUCUCAUUUCUCAAAGAGGGGUCCCAUUUUUGCCACACCAUAACCUCUCUUGCAUAUCUAAGAGCUUCAUCAACAGUAGAAGGUUCCAAC